UGGGGAAUUUUUCGCAAUGGGCGAAAGCCUGACGAAGCAACGCCGCGUGGAGGAUGACGGCCCUCGUGGUCUUAAACUCCUGUCUAGCGGGACGAAAGUAUUGGAGGUGAAUAAUCUCCGAUAUUGACUGUACCGCUGGAGGAAGCUCCGGCCAACUCCGUGCCAGCAGCCGCGGUAAUACGGAGGGUGCAAGCGUUAUCCGGAUUCACUGGGUUUAAAGGGUGCGUAGGUGGGUUGGUAAGUCAGUGGUGAAAUCCCCGAGCUUAACUUGGGAACUGCCAUUGAUACUAUCAGUCUUGAAUACCGUGGAGGUCAGCGGAAUAUGUCAUGUAGCGGUGAAAUGCUUAGAUAUGACAUAGAACACCAAUUGCGAAGGCAGCUGGCUACACGAAUAUUGACACUGAGGCACGAAAGCGUGGGGAUCAAA
rnacentral:rRNA from 1 species